rnacentral:rRNA from 1 species
GCUCAGAACGAACGCUGGCGGCAGGCCUAACACAUGCAAGUCGAACGCUCCGCAAGGGGAGUGGCGCACGGGUGAGUAACACGUGGGAACCUACCUUCUGGUACGGAACAACCAAGGGAAACUUUGGCUAAUACCGUAUACGACCUCCGGGUGAAAGAUUUAUCGCCGGAAGAGGGGCCCGCGUCCGAUUAGGUAGUUGGUGAGGUAACGGCUCACCAAGCCGACGAUCGGUAGCUGGUCUGAGAGGAUGACCAGCCACACUGGGACUGAGACACGGCCCAGACUCCUACGGGAGGCAGCAGUGGGGAAUAUUGGACAAUGGGCGCAAGCCUGAUCCAGCCAUGCCGCGUGAGUGAUGAAGGCCUUCGGGUUGUAAAGCUCUUUCACCCACGACGAUGAU